CUAAUUGACCUACCAUCACCAAGAUUUUGGGAACUUCUUCAAAUAAUCAACACAGCCUUUGUGAUUUCUCACUAGAGAGAUAGAAGCCCCUAUUGCUUAUAGAUAUCAACUAUCAGGUCUUUAUGUUCCUUGGUUCAAUUGUGCAUGGGGAAGAGAUGAUCCUGAUUACAGAGCAUUUGUCAAAAGUAGGUUUUAUUAUGAAUCUAUUGUGUGGUCCUUUCCAUAACCUUAUUUAUGGAAUUGAUUAAUGAUAUAUCCUAUUUGUGGAAGCUUAAUAUUAGUUUAAGUUUAGAUCAUUAUUGUGUGCAUUGUUUGUAUGGUCAAAUUAUAAAAUUUAACAUAGAAAAUUCUAUAAUUUGGUUUAGAAUUUGAUUUU